GAGGUAGGGACAAUAUGUAACAAUAUACGGCCUUAUACGUCGUAUAAUUGGAAUGAGUACAAUUUAAAUCCCUUAACGAGGAACAAUUGGAGGGCAAGUCUGGUGCCAGCAGCCGCGGUAAUUCCAGCUCCAAUAGCGUAUAUUAAAGUUGUUGCAGUUAAAAAGCUCGUAGUUGGACCUUGGACCUGGACAGGCGGUCCGCCUCACGGCGAGUACUGUCUUGCUGGGUCUUUCCUCUUGGUGAUCUGUUGUUUCGGCAGCAGGGAACCAGGACCUUUACUUUGAAAAAAUUAGAGUGUUCAAAGCAGGCUCGACGCCGGAAUAUAUUAGCAUGGAAUAAUAAAAUAGGACGUGCGGUUCUAUUUUGUUGGUUUUUGGAAUCGCCGUAAUGAUUAAUAGGGACAGUCGGGGGCAUUAGUACUCACAUGCUAGAGGUGAAAUUCUUGGAUUUUGUGAAGACUAACUUCUGCGAAAGCAUUUGCCAAGGAUGUUUUCAUUAAUCAAGAACGAAGGUUAGGGUAUCGAAAACGAUUAGAUACCGUUGUAGUCUUAACAGUAAACUAUGCCGACUAGGGAUCGGUCGAUGUUAUCUUUUUGACUCGAUCGGCACCUUACGAGAAAUCAAAGUUUUUGGGUUCUGGGGGGAGUAUGGUC
rnacentral:rRNA from 1 species